GAAUUGUGAUCAGAUGCAGGUUACAUUGCUUAAUGUUAAUGUAUGGUAUAUCUAUAUCAUCAUCUAAUAAACGUAAUUAAAUUUACGCGGUGGCGGUUAUCUAAAACAGGGUGCUGGGUCCUCAUCUCAUGAGUUAUGCAUGCCUCUUUUCUAUGAAGUUCUUUCAGGUGUUAUACUGAAGAAGGAAGCGAGCAAGAAAGAAGAAACAAGAGUGCCACAGUUACAAACCCCAUAAACAAUAAAAGGCAACACAAGCUACUUUGUCUUUUUUAUCCGUUACUCCGAUGAUUUACGCGAAUGGCUCGCCGCACCGGCCGCCGCUUCCGGAUACUGACUUGGAGGCGGGGCCUCCAACAGCACGCUCCGGCGACUUCGACGAUGGCGAUGUCUCUGAUCCGUUUGACAUCACCAGGACUAAGAACGCCUAUAUUGAGCGACUCAGACGAUGGAGGGGCUAGAGGAAUAAUUGGUCUGAUAUGAUUUUCGUGCGAUGGAGAAAACUGAGUAUCAACACUGUGGUGGAUUACACUAAAUUUAGUGGUGAUUAGUUUCAAGUUAUGUCUCCUGGAGCCUUGUACACUCACAAAAUGAAGUACGAGUCAAUAACAUAGUAUUAUUGGACUCUCUCAAUGAGGAAAGUUUCUAGUGAUAUAGUGUGAGAUAGAUUUAGAGGGAAAAUUUCAGUCAGCGUGUGGUUUCUGUAGAGUUUGCACUUAUUUGUAGGAAAGGAAACAUUUUAGUUUCCAGUGUGGGUUAGAUGCAAAAUAACCUAACAGAAUCAACAAUUCAUUCUCUGUGUGUAAAAAGCUAAAUGAAAUGCAUCAGAACAUACUGCAGAGAUUCUCCCCAACAGUGGCACAAUAAUUCUCAGCUUCUGAUCCUUCUGGAGAAGAGCUUGUUAGGUUUAAUCUCAGGCUUAUGAGGCCACUUUUGGGAGCCUUUGAGUUGUAUCCUGGCGGAGGAGAAAAGUUGAGUGGUAGAUUGGGUUGCAUUCAUUCCUAGUUUUAUCAUAAUAUGAGGUGUAGGGUUAGGGUUCCUGUCUCUAUGUUGACCGAGUUGUGAUUGGAAAUGAAGCGAUUGACUGAAUGGAAACUAUUGUUCAAAGGGAAGUGAGGAUAAUGCAUCAGUUGGAAUCUUCAGUGAGAUCUAAGCCUUAUUUUUUGUGUAAAGUAACUUUUUGAAUGAUGUGCUUUACAUAUCAGAAACAGACAAGAGAGGAUCCAGCCCUUCUAGGAUUUGAUUUCUACGCUGUCAUUCGAAAGUUUUCACGUUCCAUGGAACAGCCAUUUUCUUUUCUCGAGUUGAUUAUUGGAGGUUAAAGAAGACAACUUCAGGGUUAAGGAUUCGGUUAUGGCUUUAAUAGAUUUGUAUUCUAAUUACGAAGUAGUUGCUGGAUUUCAUGGGUGCUUCCUGCAGGAUGUAAAUG